rnacentral:misc_RNA from 1 species
GAUGAAGAACGCAGUGAAAUGCGAUAAGUAAUGUGAAUUGCAGAAUUCAGUGAAUCAUCGAAUCUUUGAACGCACAUUGUGCCCGCCAGCAUUCUGGCGGGCAUGCCUGUUCGAGCGUCAUUUCAACCCUCGAGCCCCCCCGGGGGCCUCGGUGUUGGGGGACGGCACACCAGCCGCCCCCGAAAUGCAGUGGCGACCCCGCCGCAGCCUCCCCUGCGUAGUAGCACACACCUCGCACCGGAGCGCGGAGGCGGUCACGCCGUAAAACGCCCAACUUUCUUAGAGUUGACCUCGGAUCAGGUAGGAAUACCCGCUGAACUUAAGCAUAUCAAUAAGCGGAGGA